AUGACAGCUGACUGUAUUUAUAAUCUUGAACUAUUGUAUUUAAAUGAAAAUACAGGAAAUCCAGCCAGCACCGGAGAGUAAAAGUGUUCACCACACUCCACACCAUGUCAGGAUACCCAUAACUGCCAGAGCAUUUGCUCUCAGCUUUCACCCAUACCACUCUCAACUUACUUGAAAUCAGGAGCCAAGUAGAAUGGAGGAAGAGUUGGACAUUUCUCAUCAUACUAAUGAAGCUAUGUUCUUUUCUGAUGUUUGUUAACCUUACUGUUAGCAUCUCCAGUCAAAUCGCUGACAUUAUGGAUGGACAGGCAA